UGGAGUGAUUUGUCUGGUUAAUUCCGAUAACGAACGAGACCUUAACCUGCUAAAUAGACCAGCCGGCUUUGGCUGGCUGCUGUCUUCUUAGAGGGACUAUCAGCGUUUAGCUGAUGGAAGUUUGAGGCAA
rnacentral:rRNA from 1 species